rnacentral:rRNA from 1 species
UACAGAGGGUGCGAGCGUUGUCCGGAAUCACUGGGCGUAAAGGGCGCGUAGGCGGCCUGAUAAGUCGGGGGGUGAAAUCCUGUGGCUCAACCACAGGGCUGCCUCCGGGACUGUCGGGCUCGAGCACAGUAGAGGCAGGUGGAAUUCCCGGUGUAGCGGUGGAAUGCGUAGAGAUCGGGAAGAACAUCGGUGGCGAAGGCGGCCUGCUGGGCUGUUGCUGACGCUGAGGAGCGAAAGCGUGGG